rnacentral:rRNA from 1 species
GACGAACGCUGGCGGCGUGCCUAAUACAUGCAAGUCGAACGCUUCUUUCCUCCCGAGUGCUUGCACUCAAUUGGAAAGAGGAGUGGCGGACGGGUGAGUAACACGUGGGUAACCUACCCAUCAGAGGGGGAUAACACUUGGAAACAGGUGCUAAUACCGCAUAACAGUUUAUGCCGCAUGGCAUAAGAGUGAAAGGCGCUUUCGGGUGUCGUUGAUGGAUGGACCCGCGGUGCAUUAGCUAGUUGGUGAGGUAACGGCUCACCAAGGCCACGAUGCAUAGCCGACCUGAGAGGGUGAUCGGCAACACUGGGACUGGGACACGGCCCAGACUCCUACGGGAGGCAGCAGUAGGGAAUCUUCGGCAAUGGACGAAAGUCUGACCGAGCAACGCCGCGUGAGUGAAGAAGGUUUUCGGAUCGUAAAACUCUGUUGUUAGAGAAGAACAAGGACGUUAGUAACUGAACGUCCCCUGACGGUAUCUAACCAGAAAGCCACGGCUAACUACGU